UACGGAGGGUGCAAGCGUUAUCCGGAUUUACUGGGCGUAAAGCGCGCGCAGGCGGACUCGUAUGUGCCGUGUGAAAGCGCCGGACUUCCUCCGGCGAGGUCAUGGUAGACAGCGGGUCUUGAGGCUCAGAGAGGUCGGUGGAAUUCCGGGUGGAGCGGUGAAAUGCGUAGAGAUCCGGAGGAACACCAGGGGGGAAAGCGGCCGACUGGCUGAGUACUGACGCUGAGGCGCGACGGCGUGGGGAGCAAACCGG
rnacentral:rRNA from 1 species